rnacentral:rRNA from 1 species
CACGUAGGGCGCAAGCGUUGUCCGGAAUUAUUGGGCGUAAAGAGCUCGUAGGCGGUCUGUUACGUCUGCUGUGAAAACCCGGGGCUUAACCCUGGGCUUGCAGCCGAUACGGGCAGGCUAGAGUCCGGUAGGGGAGACUGGAAUUCCUGGUGUAGCGGUGAAAUGCGCAGAUAUCAGGAGGAACACCGGUGGCGAAGGCGGGUCUCUGGGCCGAUACUGACGCUGAGGAGCGAAAGCGUGGGGAGCGAACAGG